UACGGGGGGAGCAAGCGUUGUUCGGAUUUACUGGGCGUAAAGGGCGCGUAGGCGGCACCGCAAGUCGACUGUGAAAUCUCCGGGCUUAACCCGGAAAGGUCAGCCGAUACUGCGGGGCUAGGGUGCAGAAGGGGCAACUGGAAUUCUCGGUGUAGCGGUGAAAUGCGUAGAUAUCGAGAGGAACACCUGCGGCGAAGGCGGGUUGCUGGGCUGACACUGACGCUGAUGCGCGAAAGCUAGGGGAGCGAACGGG
rnacentral:rRNA from 1 species